UAUUAGUAGUUUGCAUUUCCCAACAGCCUAGCCCAUGGCUCGUCGUCCCUUCUACACAAUAGCAAAAAAAAAAAGGUCCAGCUUGAGCUCGGCAGACCGCAGACAUCAGCUCCACGCACGGCGUCUUCCCAUUGGUCCCGAUCCCCAUCCGCAUCGAGCAACCAGCAGGCAUCCCCAUCCCGAGACACCAUGUCGCCGCCGUCCGACGAGGCGAUGACCCUCCGCGCCGAGGCGCCGACCCGCGCUCGGCUGGACGGCCGCUCGCUGACCCCGCGCAGAGGGCCGAGUCGCCGACCCGCGCUCGGCGAUCGCUGACCCCGGGCCGAGGGCUGAGGCGUCGACCCACGCUUGGCCGCUCACUGACCCCUCACGCCGAGGAAACAGGAAACAGGUUCCUUUGCAAUCCUCAGUCUUGCAGGAAACAGGUUCAUUUGCAAUUCGCCAAUUAUACAUGGUUGCACGGACCUGACAGUAGUGACUAAUGGGACAACUUCUAGACAGGUGCAAAAACCUAAGAACCAUCAUCAAUUAGCGCUGGCAAUUUCUUUAAGCGUCACCUGUGCGGCUGUGCCACAAUACUUGUUUUGUUGUUUGUAUAUUGGCUAAGUUAUUGCAGAUGGCGCUUGCCUUUUGCUUCUGCUGGUAAUCAUCUAAGCAUAUACAUUCUUACUGCUUAAAAUAUAAGACUUGAUGCACUUUUUUUAUUUUGGCUUACCUGUAGAUCGAGAUCUAGAAUUUGAGUUGGGCCAUCUGAAGCAUUUCUCAUUUCACGAGCUGCAAAUGCAACCGACAAUUUUAAUUCAAAGAAUAUAUUAGGUCAAGGUUGCUUCGGUAUUGUUUAUAAAGGCUGCCUGGGAAAUGGAACUUUAGUGGCUGUAAGACUGUACAGAGGUUAAAAGACUUGAAACAAAUAAGUAUUGUAAUCUUAUAUAUAUAUAUAUAUAUAUA